GAAAAAAAAAGUCAAAAAUGGAAAGUUCAAGAUUCUGCUUUUUCUUACCGGUUUUCUGUGUCAGCCUCCUCAUCCCGGCGAGAACACAAACUCUUCCACACAACCAUGUAGCCUUGUUCAUCUUUGGGGAUUCAUUAUUUGAUGUCGGCAACAAUAACUACCUCAAAAACGCUAUUGGCCUGGCGAAUUUCUGGCCUUAUGGGGAAACAUUCUUUAAGCAUCCUACUGGCAGGUUUUCCGAUGGCAGACUCAUUUCUGAUUUUAUUGGUAACAAUCUCUUUUUCCCUUAUGGGUAAUGAAUUUUUUUCGGAAACUUGAUUGAUUCUUUGCAACUUUUUCUUUGUAGCUGAGUAUUUGAAGUUGCCAUUAAUUCCACCAUAUCUCCAGCCUGGUAUUCAAUUUACAGAUGGGGUGAACUUUGCUUCAGGAGGGGCUGGCGCUUUAGUUGAAACCCAUCAAGGCAGUGAAGGAAGGGUAUACGAUUUAAUUUUCUCCUUGAUUAGGCGAGUCAUUUUGCCUAAUUUUGUUCAAUGAUAAUCUUGUUAAUAUAAUUCUAUCAGUACACAGUUGAGUCUUGCCAAAUGGGUUCAUCUUUGUGGAUGUGGUGAUCGUUGUCUUUAAUUCUCUUUUCACCUUAUGUGCUGCAAUUUUGUUAUUUACCUUUUCCACCUUUCCUCCAUAGGUGAUAGACCUUAAAACUCAGGUUCUUUAUUUGAAGAAUGUGAAGAAACAUAUAAAGCAGCAGCUAGGUGAUGCAGAAACUAGGACAUUAUUGUCCAAAGCCAUUUACUUGAUUAGCAUUGGAGGCAAUGAUUACAUAGCACCUUCCAGUGAGUUUGAGUCCUUCCCUAAAGAAGAAUUUGUAGGGAUGGUCAUUGGCAACCUGACAUCUGUGAUCAAAGACAUUUAUAAGGUUGGAGGAAGGAAAUUUGCAUUUGUAAGCAUGGGGGCUUUUGAUUGUUCACCAAACAUGAGAGCACUUAAACAGGACAAAGGAGGCUGCGAUGAAGAAGUCACAGCUCUAGCAAAACUACACAAUAAAGUACUUCCUGAUGUGCUUAAAGAGCUACAGGGUCAGCUGAAGGAGUUUAAGUACAUAAAUUUUGAUUUCUACACUACAUUAAAAGAAAGAAUUAAUAACCCUUCAAAAUAUGGUUUCAAGGAGGCAAAUGUAGCAUGCUGUGGAGCUGGUCCAUUCAGAGGAACUCUG
rnacentral:misc_RNA from 1 species